AUGACCUACGGGCACACUAUCAUAUGGAUUUUGUUGGACACACCAAAGACGAUUAGUCAUUGGGCAAACUUCAGAGAUGGAAGUGACUGUUUCAUACUGCUAAAAAAAAACUUGACCCACCUGAAACCACUCAGUGGUGAUCGUUUUAUGAGGAUUAAUGGCAUGUUCUCUUGUGGGCCCAUCUUUGACCUCUGUGCUCUCCUAGAGUUUAAAACACUAGCCAUGAAAUGUGGUAGAGACGUGUGACACAUUAGGCCCACCAUGCUAGACCGUAGUGGGCAACAGUGUUACAGAAACAAUACAAUACAUGAAAGCUAAAAGGAAACCUCUUGACUUUCUAGUCUUAGUUUUAAACAUGGCUUGAGUUGGGACUGAUUAUAGAAGUC
ensembl:lncRNA